rnacentral:rRNA from 1 species
GACGAACGCUGGCGGCGUGCUUAACACAUGCAAGUCGAACGGAAAGGCCCUGCUUUUGUGGGGUGCUCGAGUGGCGAACGGGUGAGUAACACGUGAGUAACCUGCCCUUGACUUUGGGAUAACUUCAGGAAACUGGGGCUAAUACCGGAUAGGAGCUCCUGUUGCAUGGUGGGGGUUGGAAAGUUUCGGCGGUUGGGGAUGGACUCGCGGCUUAUCAGCUUGUUGGUGGGGUAGUGGCUUACCAAGGCUUUGACGGGUAGCCGGCCUGAGAGGGUGACCGGCAACAUUGGGACAGAGGAACGGCCCAGACCCCCUCGGGGGGGAGGGGGGGGGAAGUGUGCCAAAGGGGGGGGAGCCGGAGGCAGCAACGCCGGGGGGGGGAUGGGGGGCUUCGGGUGGGAAACCCGUUGCGCCUGGGACGAAGGGGGGGGGACGGUAAUGGGGAAAAAAGCACCGGCUAACUACGG